CUUUGACCUUAAGCCAAAGUCUGCAGAAAUAAGAAUGGAAAGCAAAGAGUUCUAUCACCAUCUCCCAAAAGUGGAACUACAUGCCCACAUCAAUGGGUCCAUCAGUGAGGAGACAAUUAACAAACUACUGAAGAGGAAAGGACGAGAAGAGGAGAUAUCAAAAGUGAAAUUUGGUAAAGAACAGACAGAACCAUUAGCAGAG